CCUACGGGUGGCAGCAGUGGGGAAGAUUGGGCAAUGGGCGCAAGCCUGACCCAGCAACGCCGCGUGAAGGAAGAAGGCUUGCGGGGUGGAAACUUCGUUUAAGAGGGAAGAGCAGAAGACGGGACCUCUGGAAUAAGCCACGGCUAACGACGUGCCAGCAGCCGGGGGAAUACGUAGGUGGCAAGCGUUGUCCGGAUUUACUGGGUGGAAAGGGCGUGCAGCCGGGAAGAAAAGUCAGCUGGGACAUCCCGCGGCUCAACCGCGGAACUGACUUUGAAACUGUUUUUCUUGAGUACCGGAGAGGUCAUCGGAAUUCCUUGUGUAGCUGUGAAAUGCGUCGAUAUC
rnacentral:rRNA from 1 species